UGAGAUAUUAGCUCAGUCGGCAGAGCACCUGCCUUUUAAGCAGGGUGUCCGGAGUUCGAAUCUCCGAUAUCUAACCA
rnacentral:tRNA from 1 species